CCGUCGUAGUCCUAACCAUAAACGGCCUGGUUUGGGGUGAAGGCCACCACUGUUUCAGAUCGCUUCUUCCAUCCCCCAGAAAUUUCCUUCUUUGGUUGAUGGAAGCCGUAUGGUCGCAAGGCUGAA
rnacentral:rRNA from 1 species